GAUCAAUGAUGAAGUGCAAGAAACACAGACUGAUCAUGAACUGCUUGAGAGAAGACAACAAUUCAAAAUGACAAACCAGCUACUAAUCACCCACACAGAUCAGUGAGUACAAUGAUGAUCAACAAAAAGAUCUUGAUGUGAUAGCUAACAUUACUAACAUCAACAUUGGAAGAUUUGAGACAAUAGUAAGGGAGAUGGAGCAGUAAAGUGUAAUGAUAAUAAAAAUACAGGAACAACAAACAACUCUUCGAAUGAAUCUCAGGAAAAUGGAAGUACUUCGAUAGAGAAAGGAC